GCCUCGUGGACUGGAAGACGUUUCUCGCUACCCGGAGCUGUUCGCCGAACUGCUGCGAAGCGGUCAGUGGAGCGUACAAGAGCUGAAGAACUUGGCUGGACUCAACAUGCUGCGGGUGAUGCGUCAGGUGGAAAAGGUCCGCGACGAGAUGCGCACCAACGGCGUGGAGCCCGAGGAGCACCCCGACUCGCCCAGCGACAACGGGAACUGCACCAGCAACGCUUUCUACACUGAAUAUGUUUAAACACAUGCGCUUACGCAUGUCUGCCAAAAACAGAAGUACGUGGAAUGAAUUUUAUGUAUUAUGGUGCGAGCGUCAUCAACAAUGAUGCAGAGGUAUUUCAGCUCUGAAUAAUAUUUAGCAACCAUUUUUACACCCUGAAAGCGAAAUGCCGGCAGCUAACAGGCUAGAGCAAUUAAGACCGUGCGCAAAUUAAUCACAACGGCACCUGUCGUUUUUAAA